rnacentral:rRNA from 1 species
CCUACGGGAGGCAGCAGUGAGGAAUAUUGGUCAAUGGGCGAGAGCCUGAACCAGCCAAGUAGCGUGCAGGAUGACGGCCCUAUGGGUUGUAAACUGCUUUUAUGCGGGGAUAAAGUGAGGGACGUGUCCUUCAUUGCAGGUACCGCAUGAAUAAGGACCGGCUAAUUCCGUGCCAGCAGCCGCGGUAAUACGGAAGGUCCGGGCGUUAUCCGGAUUUAUUGGGUUUAAAGGGAGCGUAGGCCGUGGAUUAAGCGUGUUGUGAAAUGUAGACGCUCAACGUCUGACUUGCAGCGCGAACUGGUCCACUUGAGUGUGCACAACGCAGGCGGAAUUCGUCGUGUAGCGGUGAAAUGCUUAGAUAUGACGAAGAACCCCGAUUGCGAAGGCAGCUUGCGGGAGCACGACUGACGCUGAAGCUCGAAAGUGCGGGUAUCGAACAGGAUUAGAUACCCCGGUAGUC